rnacentral:rRNA from 1 species
CCAGCACCUGCGGUAAUUCCAGCUCCAAUAGCGUAUAUUAAAGUUGUUGCAGUUAAAAAGCUCGUAGUUGAAUUUCUGGUAGGGUGCCAAUGUCCGCCGCCGUGCGUGCGCAGCGGCGCCCUUCCAUCCUUCUGUCAACGCUUCUUGGCAUUCGUUUGCUGGUAGCGGGCUCAGAUAUUUUAACUUGAGAAAAUUAGAGUGUUUCAGGCAGGCUAGGCAGGAAUACAUUAGCAUGGAAUAAUGGAAUAGGAAUACGGUCUCUUUGUUGGUUUGAGGGACUGCAGUAAUGAUUAAUAGGGAUAGUUGGGGGCAUUAGUAUUUAAUUGUCAGAGGUGAAAUUAUUGGAUUUGUUAAAGACUAACUUAUGCGAAAGCAUUUGCCAAGGAUGUUUUUAUUAAUCAAGAACGAAAGU